rnacentral:snoRNA from 1 species
CUGGCUACAUGAUGAAUAAAAUCAAAUCACCAUCUUUCGGCUGAGCUCGUGAUGGAUUUGCUUUUAUCUGACAAAGCCA